UGGGUAACCUGCCUCAAAGAGGGGAAUAGCCUCCCGAAAAGGGAGAUUUAAUACCGCAUAAUAUGUUUUAAUCGCAUGUAUUUUAACAU
rnacentral:rRNA from 1 species